rnacentral:rRNA from 1 species
AUUGAACGCUAGCGGCAUGCCUUACACAUGCAAGUCGAACGAGUGGCGGACGGGUGAGUAAUAUCUGGGAACGUGCCCAGUAGCGGGGGAUAACUACUGGAAAGGGUGGCUAAUACCGCAUACUAUUGGAUCGGCCGAGAUGGGAUUAGCUAGUUGGUGGGGUAAAGGCUCACCAAGGCGACGAUCCCUAGCUGGUCUGAGAGGAGGACCAGCCACACUGGAACUGAGACACGGUCCAGACUCCUACGGGAGGCAGCAGUGGGGAAUAUUGGACAAUGGGCGCAAGCCUGAUGCAGCCAUGCCGCGUGUAUGAUGAAGGCCUUCGGGUUGUAAAGUACUUUUGGCGGGGAGGCGGUACUCGCAGAAGAAGCACCGGCUAACUACGUGCCAGCAGCCGCGGUAAUUC